rnacentral:rRNA from 1 species
AGUAACACGUGGAUAACCUACCUAUAAGACUGGGAUAACUUCGGGAAACCGGAGCUAAUACCGGAUAAUAUAUUGAACCGCAUGGUUCAAUAGUGAAAGACGGUUUUGCUGUCACUUAUAGAUGGAUCAGCGCCGCAUUAGCUAGUUGGUAAGGUAACGGCUUACCAAGGCAACGAUGCGUAGCCGACCUGAGAGGGUGAUCGGCCACACUGGAACUGAGACACGGUCCAG